UACUCUUGACAUCCAGCGAACUUUCCAGAGAUGGAUUGGUGCCUUCGGGAACGCUGAGACAGGUGCUGCAUGGCUGUCGUCAGCUCGUGUUGUGAAAUGUUGGGUUAAGUCCCGCAACGAGCGCAACCCUUAUCCUUUGUUGCCAGCGAUUCGGUCGGGAACUCAAAGGAGACUGCCGGUGAUAAACCGGAGGAAGGUGGGGAUGACGUCAAGUCAUCAUGGCCCUUACGAGUAGGGCUACACACGUGCUACAAUGGCGCAUACAAAGAGAAGCGACCUCGCGAGAGCAAGCGGACCUCACAAAGUGCGUCGUAGUCCGGAUCGGAGUCUGCAACUCGACUCCGUGAAGUCGGAAUCGCUAGUAAUCGUGGAUCAGAAUGCCACGGUGAAUACGUUCCCGGGCC
rnacentral:rRNA from 1 species